AACUUCCUACCCAAUUCGCGGACCGCGUUAAAUAACCCUACACCUUUAUAAAAGGGAGUUUGACUCCGUGUGCGGGAUGCAGACCUCCCGGUACGGCUUAACUGACCGGUUACUGGACGAAGGGAGCGCGAAACACAAGGGCAGACACCCACCUGCUUUUUAGUAGCAGGUUAUGAAUACGCGUUACGGUUGGGUGGGGCUACU
rnacentral:other from 1 species